rnacentral:rRNA from 1 species
AGCGAACGCUGGCGGCAGGCUUAACACAUGCAAGUCGAACGCCCCGCAAGGGGAGUGGCAGACGGGUGAGUAACACGAGGGAACGUACCCUUUGGUUCGGAAUAACUUGGGGAAACUCAAGCUAAUACCGGAUAAGCCCUUAUGGGGAAAGGUUUACUGCCGAAGGAUCGGCCCGCGUCUGAUUAGCUAGUUGGUGAGGUAAUGGCCGACCAAGGCGACGUUCAGUAGCUGGUCGGAGAGGAUGAUCAGCCACCCUGGAACUGAGACACGGCCCAGACUGCUACGGGAAGCAGCAGUGGGGAAUAUUGGACAGUGGUGGCAACCCUGAUCCAGCCAUGCCGCGUGAGUGAUGAAGGCCUUAGGGUUGUAAAGCUCUUUUACUCGUGACGAUAAUGACUGUACCGGAAGAAUAAGCCCCGGCUAACUUCGUGCCAGCAGCCGCGGUAA